CCUACGGGAGGCAGCAGUCGGGAAUAUUGGGCAAUGGGCGCAAGCCUGACCCAGCGACGCCGCGUGAGGGAUGAAGGCCUUCGGGUCGUAAACCUCUGUCAGGAGGGAAGAACGGCAGCAGGCCGAACAGGCCUGCAGUCUGACGGUACCUCCGAAGGAAGCGCCGGCUAACUUCGUGCCAGCAGCCGCGGUAAU
rnacentral:rRNA from 1 species